UACGAAGGGGGCUAGCGUUGCUCGGAAUCACUGGGCGUAAAGGGUGCGUAGGCUGUGCGGAAAGUUGGGUGUGAAAUCCCCCGGCUCAACCGGGGAAUUGCGCCCAAAACUACCGUGCUUGAGGAAGACAGAGGUGAGCGGAACUUCGGGUGGAGCGGUGAAAUGCGUUGAUAUCCGAAGGAACACCGGUGGCGAAAGCGGCUCACUGGGUCUUUUCUGACGCUGAUGCACGAAAGCUAGGGGAGCAAACGGG
rnacentral:rRNA from 1 species